rnacentral:rRNA from 1 species
GCAAGUCGAGCGAGAAAGCACUUCGGUGCGAGUACAGCGGCGGACGGGUGAGUAACGCGUAGGAAUCUACCCAGUAGUGGGGGACAACAUGGUGAAAACCAUGCUAAUACCGCAUACGCCCCAAGGGGGAAAGCGGGGGAUCUUCGGACCUCGCGCUAUUGGAUGAGCCUAUGUCGGAUUAGCUAGUUGGUAGGGUAAAGGCCUACCAAGGCAACGAUCCGUAGCUGGUUUGAGAGGAUGAUC